GGGAAUUUAGCUCAGUGGUAGAGUGCUUGCCUAGCAAGCACAAGGCCCUGGGUUCAAUCCCCAGCUCU
rnacentral:tRNA from 1 species